GCCUGAGUGGCGAAAUUGGUAGACGCACAGGACUUAAAAUCCUGCGAGAAUCAACCCUCGUGCCGGUUCAAGUCCGGCCUUAGGCACCA
rnacentral:tRNA from 1 species